rnacentral:sRNA from 21 species
GAAAACGUGAGGAGUUGAGAUUCACUAAGGAGUCGAAACUAGGAAAGACUUCCUUGUUGAAUCUCAAAGA